UAUGUGGUUUAAGUUCGAUGCAACGACGAAGAACCUUACCUGGUCUUGACAUCCCGGAGACCCUUAGGAAACUAGGGGUGCUUCCAUCUGGAAGAAUCUGGAGACAGGUGCUGCAUGGCUGUCGUCAGCUCGUGUCGUGAGAUGUUGGGUUAAGUCCCGCAACGAGCGCAACCCUUGCCUUUAGUUGCCAGCAGUUCGGCUGGGCACUCUAAAGGGACUGCCGGUGUUAAACCGGAGGAAGGUGGGGAUGACGUCAAGUCCUCAUGGCCUUUAUGACCAGGGCUACACACGUACUACAAUGGCCGAUACAAAGGGCAGCGACACUGCGAGGUGAAGCCAAUCCCGUAAAAUCGGUCUCAGUCCGGAUUGGAGUCUGCAACUCGACUCCAUGAAGUUGGAAUCGCUAGUAAUCGUGGAUCAGCAUGCCACGGUGAAUACGUUCCCGGGCCUU
rnacentral:rRNA from 1 species